GACGAACGCUGGCGGCGUGCUUAACACAUGCAAGUCGAACGGAAAGGCCCCUUUUGGGGUACUCGAGUGGCGCACGGGUGAGUAACACGUCAGUAACCUGCCCUUGACUUCGGGAUAACUUCAGGAAACUGGGGCUAAUACCGGAUAGGAAUCCUUGCUGCAUGGUGGGGGUUGGAAAGCUUCGGCGGUUUUGGAUGGGCUGGCGGCUGAUCAGCUUGUUGGUGGGGUAGUGGCUUACCAAGGCUUUGAUGGGUAGCCGGCCUGAGAGGGUGACCGGCCACCUUGGGACUGAGAGACGGCCCAGACGCCGAAGAGAGGAAGAAGUGGGGAAUAUUGCACCAUGGGCGGAAGCCUGAUGCAGCAAGGCCGCGGGCGGGAUGACGGCCUUCGGGUUGAAAACCGCUAUCAGCAGGGGCGAAGCUUGUGGUGACGGUACCUGCAGAAGAAGCACCGGCUAACUACGUG
rnacentral:rRNA from 1 species